GUGACGAGAGAAGCGAGAUAGGUCGCUAAGAGGAGCACACGGAGAGUGUGCUCUCUCCUUGUGCAAAUAAUCGAAGAGAAAGAAGCACGGCACGGCACGGCAGUUGCUUUUCUUCUUGCUUUCGGGGAAUGGCGUCGUGGAAGCCCCUCCUCCUAAUAUCCUUGGACUCCAAUGCCCAUCUCAAGCAUUCCGCCUUCUUCCAACUGGCGACAAUCGGUUCCAAUGGAAGACCUUCCAAUCGAACUGCGGUCUUCCGAUGAUUUCAGGAGGGUACGGAUAUGGUUCACAUAAGUACCGAUCUCCGCAGCGCCAAGGUAACUUACACGUAUUAGGAGUUUUUGGAAGAAUUGUAUGUACUCGUUCUUUGUGCUUGCUUUCGUUGAUUGAACAGAUUCAGGAGAUUCAGCAUUGCCAUUUCGGAGAGGUAAAUCGUUCGGGGCAUAAUGCGAUUAGGGCCAUCAUUCCGCAUAAUGCGAUUUAGUUACAUAUAAGUGCUGAUUGUCUGAAUCUUCAGAAUUUGGACUGUUAUAAUUGCCCAGAAAAGGGAGAAAGCAUGGUUUGCAAGUUCUCCGAAAUCACAAUUACAGUACUUAGCCCCUACUCCUAGUUUUCCAACUAUUGCUAUCAAUGACCCUGGUGAAGAGAUAGAACUCGAUCCAUCUGAAGGCCCAGUUGACGUGUUUUGUCUUUUGAUUUUUGAUCCAGAUCAGGUUGACUACUUGAAUUCGAGAAGCAAUGAGCGACUUAUCUUUACAUCCAAACCAAAUGGGCCUAGCCGCAAAUUAUGGAUGUCUCAGCAAAUCAACCCAUAAUGUUUAGCAUGUAUGAAUGUUCCAAUUAUGUUUUUAUCUCUUCUUUCAUAUUCCACGACAUUUUUCCUAUGCAGAAGCAUAUAUUCUAUUGACAAUUAUCCAUAUAGUUUUUCGCCUCGUAGCUUUCUCCUUCCAGGUUGUUGCUGCCAAAAGCAAAAAAUGGAGGUGCUUUGGAUGAUAUAGUGCACCCAUUAGGCACCCAUUUGACGACUAUCUUCCAAGUUUGACCAUUUAAAGCAUUGGAACGUGUUGCAGUAGUCUUCAGGGGAAAAUGGCUUCAGAACUAAGAAACAAGACUGUAUAUAUCCUGAUUGUGUCGACUUUCAUUUUAUAGAGUAUGCUAAUAUGUUUAAGGUCACAGCUGCAUCUCGUAGUUGCACGUGUUUCGAACAUCGUUGCGCGUGUUUCGAACAUAGGUGACCAUGUCGGGUGGCUGGCGAUCGGCAUCCAUGGCCAGAGAGCGUCGACGACCACGUCGAAAGGCCGUCGGUCGACAGUCGUGGCAGCCGCGUUGUCACGGCAAAGAAUGCACGACAA